CAAGCCCGGCAGCAGGCGGGGUCCGCACCCACCCGCCCGCCCGCGCUGACGUCAGGAAACUUUCGGGGCGGCUGUGGCCGGAGCGGGCGCCGGGAGCGGCGCGGAGCGGCGGCGGGACGGGCUGCUCCAUCCCCGGCAGGUGAAAGGGAGGAGGAAACAACCA